rnacentral:rRNA from 1 species
GACGAACGCUGGCGGCGUGCUUAACACAUGCAAGUCGAACGGAAAGGCCCUGCUUUUGUGGGGUGCUCGAGUGGCGAACGGGUGAGUAACACGUGAGUAACCUGCCCUUGACUUUGGGAUAACUUCAGGAAACUGGGGCUAAUACCGGAUAGGAGCUCCUGCUGCAUGGUGGGGGUUGGAAAGUGUCGGCGGUUGGGGAUGGACUCGCGGCUUAUCAGCUUGUUGGUGGGGUAGUGGCUUACCAAGGCUUUGACGGGUAGCCGGCCUGAGAGGGUGACCGGCCACAUUGGGACUGAGAUACGGCCCAGACUCCUACGGGAGGCAGCAGUGGGGAAUAUUGCACAAUGGGCGGAAGCCUGAUGCAGCAACGCCGCGUGCGGGAUGACGGCCUUCGGGUUGUAAACCGCUUUCGCAUGUGACGAAGCGUGAGUGACGGUAAUGGGUAAAGAAGCACCGGCUAACUACGUG